rnacentral:rRNA from 2 species
GCAGUGUACCCGCGGCAAGACGGAAAGACCCCGUGAACCUUUACUAUAGCUUGACACUGAACAUUGAGCCUUGAUGUGUAGGAUAGGUGGGAGGCUUUGAAGUGUGGACGCCAGUCUGCAUGGAGCCGGCCUUGAAAUACCACCCUUUAAUGUUUGAUGUUCUAACGUGGACCCGUGAUCCGGGUUGCGGACAGUGUCUGGUGGGUAGUUUGACUGGGGCGGUCUCCUCCUAAAGAGUAACGGAGGAGCACGAAGGUUGGCUAAUCCUGGUCGGACAUCAGGAGGUUAGUGCAAUGGCAUAAGCCAGCUUGACUGCGAGCGUGACGGCGCGAGCAGGUGCGAAAGCAGGUCAUAGUGAUCCGGUGGUUCUGAAUGGAAGGGCCAUCGCUCAACGGAUAAAAGGUACUCCGGGGAUAACAGGCUGAUACCGCCCAAGAGUUCAUAUCGACGGCGGUGUUUGGCACCUCGAUGUCGGCUCAUCACAUCCUGGGGCUGAAGUAGGUCCCAAGGGUAUGGCUGUUCGCCAUUUAAAGUGGUACGCGAGCUGGGUUUAGAACGUCGUGAGACAGUUCGGUCCCUAUCUGCCGUGGGCGCUGGAGAACUGAGGGGGGCUGCUCCUAGUACGAGAGGACCGGAGUGGACGCAUCACUGGUGUUCGGGUUGUCAUGCCAAUGGCACUGCCCGGUAGCUAAAUGCGGAAGAGAUAAGUGCUGAAAGCAUCUAAGCACGAAACUUGCCCCGAGAUGAGUUCUCCCUGAGACUUUAGGUCUCCUGAAGGAACGUUGAAGACGACGACGUUGAUAGGCCGGGUGUGUAAGCGCAGCGAUGCGUUGAGCUAACCGGUACUAAUGAACCGUGAGGCUUAACCUU